rnacentral:lncRNA from 1 species
CUCGCUGAAAGUGAAACUUAUUCAUCAACGUCUUCCGACGCCGGCAGUCACGAGUGUCCACUUUCAAUCGAUCAUUGGAAACAUCCUUAUAUGAUUGCAGAAGGAAGAAGAGAAGCUUGAAGAACCAUGGGUUAAGCUAAAGAUUGUGUUUCUUGAUGCUCAAAAUGUACUGAUUAUUAAGCACAAUGUACAAGCUGUUUGUGGGUUGAUAUUAUACGAAUGUGUUGUGUUGGUGGUGGUGGUGGUGGUAGAUCUGGUCGGAGAUGGUGGUGGUCGCUGGUGAUUUUUUGACGGGGAUGGUGAGUGUGGUUAAAUUAUUUUAUUUAAUAACAAAGGUGGAGUCC